GUGGGGAAUUUUGGACAAUGGGCGAAAGCCUGAUCCAGCAAUGCCGCGUGCAGGAUGAAGGCCCUCGGGUUGUAAACUGCUUUUGUACGGAACGAAAAGCCUGGGGCUAAUAUCCCCGGGUCAUGACGGUACCGUAAGAAUAAGCACCGGCUAACUACGUGCCAGCAGCCGCGGUAAUACGUAGGGUGCAAGCGUUAAUCGGAAUUACUGGGCGUAAAGCGUGCGCAGGCGGUUUUGUAAGACAGUGGUGAAAUCCCCGGGCUCAACCUGGGAACUGCCAUUGUGACUGCAAAGCUAGAGUGCGGCAGAGGGGGAUGGAAUUCCGCGUGUAGCAGUGAAAUGCGUAGAUAUGCGGAGGAACACCGAUGGCGAAGGCAAUCCCCUGGGCCUGCACUGACGCUCAUGCACGAAAGCGUGGGGAGCAAACAGG
rnacentral:rRNA from 1 species